ensembl:lncRNA
GCGGCCGGCAGCGGCUGCCGCCCGGUUUCGUCGCUCGCUGCCGGCGCUUGCGUGAACCGCCGACCGUGCGGCCCUCCACCUAGGACGCCCGCCCAACCGUCCCACCUGGGGGUCUGCUUACCUUACGGCUGACCGGAGCCGACCGACUGGCCGCAGCGUGAGAAGCGACAGAGAGCGGGGCUGCCCUUCACCGGCGCGCAGGGCGGAACGGGGAGCAGCAGCGUGCCGAAACAGCAACAGCGGGGCAGUCCCGAGGGCUCAGCCGCUCAGGAAGCAGUCAGCCAAACCGUAAAACUGCCACCGUACAUCUUGAGGACACCGCCCUUCCUGUUUGGGGUGGUUUGGUUUUGUUGUUUUUCUUUUCGUGUGGGUUUUUGUUUGUUUUGUUUAAGCGUGGCGGUGGUUGUUCUUUGCUUUUGGUUUACUUCCAUUGCUUGGUUUGCUUUCUGGUCGCUGUUUCCUCUAAAGAUGGCGGGAACACGUAGGGCAUAGAAAUAACAGCAGGGUGGUUUGCAUUUCUAGAAGCGUGUGACGUGUCAGAGGUUUCUGUGAUAAUGCCAUAGGGUGGAUGUGUCACACUCUCCUCUGGGGGCUGCUGCUUCUCCUCACCCCCACAGCUGGGAAGCAGAAGGUCCAGGAUGCCCCCAGAGAGACAUACAAGUCGAAGAUGAUGUUCGUAUUGCUCGGUCCUUCAGGAACUGUGAGGUGGAUCCUGCUGCUAGAGAGCUUCCUAAAGGAGUCGCUUUCUGCCCCAAAAGGAACUCAUCCGACAGAAAGUAGAAGUUCUCAAGACUUGUAUUUGUGUCUCAGCACAAAUUCCUGAUGUGGAAGGGUUAAAAUGCACGAGGAAGUCACUCAGUGUUGCAGUAUCACCUGAAUCGUUGUGCUCCUUCUGAUGUCCCAGAGAGAGAGUGGGACAUGUCUGCUCUCCUCUGGAGUGCUUACACCAUCUGAGGUUUUGCAUGGUGAGAGAAAACAAGUGCAGCUGCUGCUGCCAAGUGGAUUUAUUUGCUCUGGCAUGUAACUUAGUUGUGCUGCUAUACCUCAGUGGUGACACCGAAAUGAGUGCAUUUAUUUCCUGUUGCUGCCAAAGAACACAAUCAAAUGUGGCUCUGAGGACCAAGUAAUAGGGUUACAGUACCACUGGCUCUUAGCACUGACAUCUCAGCUACUCAACGUAAGGGAGAGAGGUCAUUUGCAGGAGUGACACUCUACGCAUUAAGCUGUCACUGGGUUAGGACUGAGGGCUAUGGAUUGCUCUGACUGAAACAAAGCAGGCAGUUUUGCAGAAGCACCAGCUUGCGAGCAGUGUAUAAGGCAGUUCUUCAGUUUGUCUUUAAAACUUACCAGCUGAGUGGCAAAAUUAUUCUUCAAUGUCCAGUGGGAUAAACAGGGGGGCAUUUCUUGGUGUCAGCCUGCAAGAGGAAACGUGCUAGGAUUACACAAGUGAGUUGCUCCAGCUACUCAAACUCACAAAGGCUCUAGGGAGUAACCAGAGCAAGCUGAACACCUGCUGAAGAGAGGCUUAGGUCCAGGAAUGACACUGUCUCUCUCCAGCUGACAGGGACAUUUGUGGCAAAGGCUUGUGCUGCAGCCAGCCACCCUAGACCUGUCCAACAGCCCACAAGCUCAGUGCUAGCUUAGACUGAAAUUCUGAUGCAGAAAAGCCACAAUCUGGAAGAAGUCAUCUAAAAGUGAAUGAGGGGCCACAGUCUGAACCUUGAGCCAGAACUGGGCAUUUUGGAUGAGGCUCAACUUGCAACCAAGGUGUAGGGUUAGGACAGAAAGGGAAACAGAGCCAAAGCUUCUCACCAGCAUGAGGCUGCAAAGGAGCUGUUGAAGAAAGGGGAAGGCUACAAAAAGUCUGUGUAACAACUGUGGUGGGGAGCGCAGGCACAGGAUACAGCCUGUUCAGCUGGAAUGACACCAAACAAGUAUUUCAAGCAUUGCAGCACUAAACCGAAUGUGUAUUUCUGCCUUUGUCUGUAUUUUCCUUCAUAAUGAAGUGGUCAAAGAGAUCUUCCACAUCCUGAAACAGUUGUGCCUUAGCAUGGAGCACACAGACAGCUAUAAUCAGCGUUAAAGGCAUUGGUUUUUAGUGACAAUGGCAAAAAAGGUGAAGUCUUUGAAAGAGCAGAUGUUAGCACCCCUGAUUUAAACCUUGUGGAUAAAGCUGCUGGCUCUGCCACAGCCUUGCCGGUUGUUCUCUAGGACCAGCAUCUCUUCAAAUGCUACAAGGAUACUUAGCACAUCUAACAGGAAAAGGCUUUAUUAACAGCUUGCUCUUGUAAGAACAUCCUAUUUUCCCAAGCAUUUCUCAGAGACAGAGAUUAGGAAGGUCUUCUGAUUUAAGCAAGUGCAGUAAAUCGCCCAGGGAGAUAUUAUACCUAUCAUCUUUUUCCAAUUCAGAUUUCAUUGAAGUACAAAGAGCUUUGGGAAUGAGGCACUCUAUGAUGGAAAGCAACAUUCAUGCCCUUUUGGAUAUCUAGUAAGCUUUGCUAGAGGGGAAGUCUAUUUGUAUAUCAAAUCCCAUACAUCCUUGCAAGGCAAGCAUUUUCUAUAGUUAAGAACAUUGGAAAUUACAUAUUUUACCUCCCAGAAUAACCAUGUUAAAGUACAGGCUGGAGGCCAGGAUAAAGGGAGAGAUUAUUAAAGCAAAGGGUAGUGUUACCAGAAAGAAACAAAGUGUUAAGUGACAAUAAAAGCCAGUAAGAAGAAGGAACAGAAAUCUAUGGCCUGAUGAUUAAACUGAUAAGCAAUGCUGGCUCUAACCUCCAUUUCACUAGUUUAAAAUAACAGUGGGGGAGAUGAGUUGUAGGUACCCAAAUAUCACUCUGGAAGGAGAAAGUUAUUACUUCUUAAAAAGCUACUUACAUUUAAGGCCUCCAGAGCCACUGAGUUCUGAUUCUGUGGACUAUCACAAGAUCUACCUUCUUGGCAAAUAUCAUCCUCCCAUGUUUGUUUUCUCACCUUCCACUGACAGGUAAUAUUCUUCUUUCUCUGUGUGUGCUUGCUGAUCUGUGUAUUGGUCUACAACAUACGGGAUCUGCCCAACUCCUUUCCUUUAAUUCUUCUGGGUCUGUGUCUAUUUUCUGAAAUUUUUUGUUCCUAAUCCCAAAUUCCUAAAUUUGCAUUUCCAUUGAAAUGCCAUUGGGAUGAUGUAUUCAGAGACCAGCUCUGACCUUGUCCUUCUUUUGGCACUUCAGAAAUCAAC